AAGGCUGACCCAUACUGUGGCGUGUUGACUUCAUUCAUAGAACCUAGGUUACCUACGUAACCCUCCGUUAUUGUAAUAUGUUUUUAAGAAAAAAUUAUUAUUUCAUUUAAUUAAGAUAUUUAAAAGUGUAUUCUGUGUUUUUAGUUUUAUUUAUGGGGAGAAAACAAUAAAACGAACUCCCUUUUUAAUUAUGCAAAUUUUUGUCAUUAAAUCAGUCUAUAAACAAAAAGUAGACAAAAUGGUAGUGUUUUCGUCAGAAGAAUGAAUGUUUUAUGAACAUGCGUAAUAAAACUGACCCGAGCUCACCUAACCACAUUGGACACUGGUCAUUUGUGAUCGACUCCCCCAAGUGGUGAACCAUCGGAUUUUCGAAACAGUUAUGACGUUAAGAAGCCUCGUUUGCUAAAAUCACGUGACUUUGGCCAGUUUGAAACACGCUCCGAACCAAUGAUUUGAAACAAAAGAUUCGUAAAUGGUUCGAAACCCCAUGAAGCAGUAUUUCGCCAUCGACCAUCACUAGCUUAUGUACAGCAUAUCUCAGUCCUGCAAUGAAUACAUUAACAUCACAUAACGUGUAAUUUAAAGGGGUCAUAGCGUGAAAAUCUGACUCUUUCCAUGUUUAAGUGUUAUAAUUGAGUCCCCAGUGCUUCUAUCAAUCUAGAAAAUGUGAUAAAGAUCAACCCAGUAACUUAGUUUGGGUAAGACAUUUUCAAUAAGCAUGUGAAAAAUUAGGUUGUUCAGAUUUCACCUGUUUUGUGAGGUAGGUAGCAAGGUGAAUUACAAUAAUACCGCCCCCUUUAUCUGGACUAUCCAACCACAGCACUGCAAUUUAGUGCAGAGAGAAAGAAAAAAUUAUUCAUAGCAUAAUUGUUUCAAUUGCAACAAACCAUCAUCAUUGUGAUCAGUGUUUGCACUUCAUACGCUCAUUUGCAUUAUAUAUAUAUAUAUAUAUAUUAAUACAAUUUGACAGUAGCCUAGUAACGCCACCGAAUGUAGCGAAGUAAAAUUAUUUUAGAUCAACGCACCCGCAUAAUAAUGUAACACAACUCCCCUCCCCCCGCGACACUAUGGUAUUACUUUUGUGUCAAUAUUAUUUAAUCAAACAUACAUUAUUUGAGAGCAAAACUAUUAAAUCGUUGUAAAAAAAUUUAAUUUGCAUUUAAAAAAUGUUAUCUUAAAAUUAUUUUAGUUACAAAAUACAGUAAUUGUUAACCAAAUUUUUUUGCAAUAUGAAUUUUUCUUUGAGUAGUUUCAUCGCGUGUCCCUACAUUUUGUUCUCUGCUACGCUGUUUUUGUUUGCGGAUCAAAAAUCUUUGCUUUUGAGUCAAAAAGUUUUGGAUGCAAGUUACAAGCGUCUCAGUGGGCGGGAUCAACCUAGUUGAAUGAAAGACCCGUUUCUAUUGGCCACUACUGUCACCAUUUGGCCACGCCCACCAAGGAAGUCUGCUUGUAGAACGAGGAGAGUGAUGCUGUGCUAUGGAGAGCGGCAUUGUUUGUAAGAUGAUUCUUCACUAGAGGUUACAUUGAAGUCAGGCAAUGACAGGAAGGAUGGCUGGGGAUUCAAAGAUCUGAUAAAAAAGUUACAUGAAAAUACUUGGACUACUCAUGGGACCAAAGAGCUAUUACACCAGCUCCAGUCUGGAUCCUGUCUCUAUCAGAUGACCCUACACAUAAGGAAAGUUGACAUCGGCCAUCACGAGGACUUAAAAACUGUUCAAAGCGCUAUACAAAUAAAUGUGAACAAAAUUGAAUUGUUUGAAGUCAACAGCAGAGAUGAGGAUGCCACACAAUGCAUCCUCUCCACAACAGAUCUUGCAUUACAAAGUGAUAUUGACAUCUUUCUUGGCCUCUCUGAUUACAAUCCUCCCAAUCAUUCCUGCAACACAAGAAGCACAAAUUACUUUUAUGUCACAAAUCACUGUUUGCCAUUAAAGUCUGGUCUACUUGCUACUUUUAAAAGAUCUUCAUAUCAAAAUGUCUUAAAUACUGGAUUUUAUUAAUUCAUUUUGUUUAGUACCAAUAUAUUUAUUUACAUUUACACAUUUUUUCAAAUUCAUUAAUUUUAUCCUAAACUAUUUUGCUUGUUGUUUCAUUACUGCAGAUUAUUUAUGUUGGGUGACGCAUUGUCUUCAUAAGUAGAUAUAAGUAUAUCAGUGGUCUCCUCUGGCUAAAGAUUUUUGAUAAUGUCAUAAGACAAAGUAGCAUUGUGUAAUAUUUUAUAUGUUGUUUAAAAUAUGUUACAAGACGAGUCAGACAGACCAUUGACAGUGCAGCCAAGAUUAUUCAAUAAACCAUUUUUAUUUUAUUCUU